rfam:Triticum aestivum genome assembly, contig: Triticum_aestivum_CS42_TGACv1_scaffold_485737_6AS
UUAAUAAUUCCUCCGUCCAAAAUUACUUGUCGCAAAAAUGGAUGUAUCUAGACGUAUUUUUAGUUCUAGAUACAUCCAAUUUUAUUCAUUUCUGUGACAAGUAAUUCGGGACUGAGGGAGUACUAG